rnacentral:lncRNA from 1 species
CUCGAAAACUUCCUUUUUAUGAUCCGUGACUAGACCAUAGAUGAUUUAAAAUUAUCCUCGUGUUUUUAUUACUUGAUUUACGACAAUCAUUUUCGUAUUUGUCCUGUAUGGACUGGUAUCCCGACAAGACACAUGCAGAUACAUAUACAAUGUACAUAUACUUUGUUUAUCCUGAAAAUUACUUUCUAGAAAUCGGCAGAGUUCAAAAGCGGACAGCGAAGAGGACCCCAAAAUGAACUGGUUAUGAAAUAGAAAUAUUCAAAUUACCGCUUGCUCAACGUGGAAGUGGGGUAACAGGAGACUUUAUUUGUACAUGUACAAAUAAAGCAAAAAUGUAUUUGUAUGUCUGUUAUUUGUACCAUAGUUGGCUAAUUGCAGGAUAAAUAUGAUAUAUGUUCUCCCGACGUUUUGCAUUUGCGUCGAUCUGCAUUUCUUUGCGUCGAUUUUUUUCUUUCAUUUGUGCUGAUUGUGUACAGGGAGAUUACAGGUGACUGUUAUUUAUUUUUUAUCCUUUGUGUACAUGUAAUGAAUUGUAAAUUAUAAGCUUAUGUCCCAAGCUCACCAUGGCCAUUUUAUGAGAUGUAAUUUUGACAUAAGUAACGCCUGAAUUUUCUUAAUGACACCUAUAAAUUAUAUAUUACG